CCUACGGGGGGCUGCAGUGGGGAAUAUUGGACAAUGGGGGCAACCCUGAUCCAGCCAUGCCGCGUGUGUGAAGAAGGCCCUCGGGUUGUAAAGCACUUUCAGUGAGGAAGAACGCCUGGUGGUUAAUACCCAUCAGGAAAGACAUCACUCACAGAAGAAGCACCGGCUAACUCCGUGCCAGCAGCCGCGGUAAUACGGAGGGUGCGAGCGUUAAUCGGAAUUACUGGGCGUAAAGCGCGCGUAGGUGGCUUGAUAAGCCGGUUGUGAAAGCCCCGGGCGCAACCUGGGAACGGCAUCCGGAACUGUCAAGCUAGAGUGCAGGAGAGGAAGGUAGAAUUCCCGGUGUAGCGGUGAAAUGCGUAGAGAUCGGGAGGAAUACCAGUGGCGAAGGCGGCCUUCUGGACUGACACUGACACUGAGGUGCGAAAGCGUGGGUAGCAAACAGGAUUAGAUACCCUAGUAGUC
rnacentral:rRNA from 1 species